UACGUAGGGGGCAAGCGUUGUCCGGAAUUAUUGGGCGUAAAGAGCGUGUAGGCGGUAAAUUAAGUUGGAUGUAAAAGGCAACGGCUCAACCGUUGUAAGCAUCCAAAACUGAUAUACUUGAGUGCAGGAGAGGAAAGUGGAAUUCCCGGUGUAGCGGUGGAAUGCGUAGAGAUCGGGAGGAACACCAGUGGCGAAGGCGGCUUUCUGGCCUGCAACUGACGCUGAGACGCGAAAGCGUGGGUAGCAAACAGG
rnacentral:rRNA from 1 species